rnacentral:rRNA from 1 species
AAUUUUCCGCAAUGGGCGCAAGCCUGACGGAGCAACGCCGCGUGAGGGAUGAAGGUCUUCGGAUCGUAAACCUUUGUCAUCGAGGAAGAUAAUGACGGUACUCGAGGAGGAAGCCCCGGCUAACUACGUGCCAGCAGCCGCGGUAACACGUAGGGGGCGAGCGUUGUCCGGAAUUACUGGGCGUAAAGGGCGCGUAGGCGGCCUAUUAAGUCAGAUGUGAAACCCCUGGGCUUAACCUUGGGCUUGCAUUUGAAACUGAAAGGCUUGAGGGCAGGAGAGGAAAACGGAAUUCCCAGUGUAGCGGUGAAAUGCGUAGAUAUUGGGAGGAACACCAGUGGCGAAGGCGGUUUUCUGGACUGCACCUGACGCUGAGGUGCGAAAGCUAGGGUAGCAAACG